CAACCUCCUCAGGCUGGCUGGGCCCCAGGAGUCUCUGGGUGAGGAUCUCUUUGAGCCACUCACUCUCAAGCAUGACUAGAAGGCCUCUCCUUCC
rnacentral:pre_miRNA from 1 species